UCCCUCUCAGGGUCACACCUGGAGAGAUUCCAGCACUCUAUCAGUCUCGACUGUGGGAGGGAGAGUCAAGCAGAGGCUAUCUGUUCCAUUUCUAGCUUGGGCAGUGGCUAGUGAGUGGAAAGCCAUCUGCUACAAGU